UAAACAUUGAUACUUUUUACACCCACUAUCCGCCCGGGUACUACAAGCAUUAGCUUAAAACCCAAAGGACUUGGCGGUGCUUAAGAUCCCCCUAGAGGAGCCUGUUCUAGAACCGAUAAUCCACGUUUAACCUCACCCUCUCUUGUUUUUCCCGCCUAUAUACCGCCGUCGUCAGCUUACCCUAUGAAGGCCUAAUAGUUAGCAAAAAUGGCACAGCCCAAAACGUCAGGUCGAGGUGUAGCACAUGAGUGGGGAAGAAAUGGGCUACAUUCCCUAAAAAUAGGAGAAAUACGGAUAAUAUAUUGAAAUAUAUAUUUUAAGGAGGAUUUAGCAGUAAGAGGAAAUUAGAGCGUUCCACUGAAUCCGGCCCUAAAGCGCGCACACACCGCCCGUCACUCUCCCCAAGUCUUAAAAAUUCUAUAUUUAUAAUAAACCUCACUAACAAAGGGGAGGCAAGUCGUAACAUGGUAAGUGUACCGGAAGGUGUACUUGGACAAAU
rnacentral:rRNA from 1 species